rnacentral:rRNA from 1 species
UCCGUAGGUGAACCUGCGGAAGGAUCAUUACUGAGUGAGGGCCCUCUGGGUCCAACCUCCCACCCGUGUUUAUUUACCUUGUUGCUUCGGCGGGCCCGCCUUAACUGGCCGCCGGGGGGCUUACGCCCCCGGGCCCGCGCCCGCCGAAGACACCCUCGAACUCUGUCUGAAGAUUGUAGUCUGAGUGAAAAUAUAAAUUAUUUAAAACUUUCAACAACGGAUCUCUUGGUUCCGGCAUCGAUGAAGAACGCAGCGAAAUGCGAUACGUAAUGUGAAUUGCAAAUUCAGUGAAUCAUCGAGUCUUUGAACGCACAUUGCGCCCCCUGGUAUUCCGGGGGGCAUGCCUGUCCGAGCGUCAUUGCUGCCCUCAAGCACGGCUUGUGUGUUGGGCCCCGUCCUCCGAUUCCGGGGGACGGGCCCGAAAGGCAGCGGCGGCACCGCGUCCGGUCCUCGAGCGUAUGGGGCUUUGUCACCCGCUCUGUAGGCCCGGCCGGCGCUUGCCGAUCAACCCAAAUUUUUAUCCAGGUUGACCUCGGAUCAGGUAGGGAUACCCGCUGAACUUAAGCAUAUCAAUAAGCGGAGGA